rnacentral:rRNA from 1 species
UACGUAGGGUGCAAGCGUUAAUCGGAAUUACUGGGCGUAAAGCGUGCGCAGGCGGUUAUGUAAGACAGAUGUGAAAUGCCCGGGCUUAACCUGGGAACUGCAUUUGUGACUGCAUGGCUAGAGUUUGGCAGAGGGGGGUAGAAUUCCACGUGUAGCAGUGAAAUGCGUAGAUAUGUGGAGGAACACCGAUGGGCGAAGGCAGCCCCCUGGGUCAAGACUGACGCUCAUGCACGAAAGCGUGGGGAGCAAACAGG